GAUGAAUGCUAGCGGCAGGCCUAAUACAUGCAAGUCGGACGGGAUUCAGGAGCUUGCUUCUGAUGAGAGUGGCGCACGGGUGCGUAACACGUAUGUAACCUACCUUUAUCAGGGGGAUAGCCUCUCGAAAGAGAGAUUAAGCCCGCAUAAAAUCACAGCACAGCAUUGUGUAAUGAUCAAAUAUUUAUAGGAUAAAGAUGGGCAUGCGGAACAUUAGCUAGAUGGCGGGGUAACGGCCCACCAUGGCGACGAUGUUUAGGGGAUCUGAGAGGAUGGCCCCCCACACGGGUACUGAGACACGGACCAGACUCCUACGGGAGGCAGCAGUAAGGAAUAUUGGUCAAUGGGCGGAAGCCUGAACCAGCCAUGCCGCGUGCAGGAAGACGGCCCUACGGGUUGUAAACUGCUUUUAUACGGGAAUAAACCCAGAUACGUGUAUCUGGCUGAAUGUACUGUAAGAAUAAGGAUCGGCUAACUCCGUG
rnacentral:rRNA from 1 species